rnacentral:lncRNA from 1 species
GGCAUUGUCGGUUAUGUAGUCAACAGCACGUCAGGCGUGUCCUUGAUACUUUGGUAGUUAAAGGCCUAGGCAUCUCAAUCAUACUCAAGAUGAGUUGUAUGAUCUUAUGCAAGGGAGACACGCAACUUGGCCCAGGCGAGGCGCGGAGCAGUCGCGAGGGUGGCAACGGGUGUUGGAAAGCGCUUCAUAAUGAUUAAAGAAACUCAAAACGACCAUAUCGACGGCCAGUUAUGGAUAAACGAGUUAGAACGGUCGAUUUAACAACAAAAUAUGCUUAAAUUGGAGUAUGUUCAUAAUGGAUUGAUGUCUAAUUAAACUAGUUAGGCAUUUAAUUAAUUGGUGGGCUGAUAUCCAAAUUCAAGUUGGGCCAAGUUGAUAAUUAAGUAGUUUGAGCAAUAGAUGAUUUGGGCUACAACCUAAAAAAUCACAAGACUCAAAUGU